CGGAACAGAUUCCCACACCACUAUGAUCGAUGGGCUUGGAGUUGCUGGCUGGGGUGUUGGAGGUAUUGAAGCAGAAGCUACAAUGCUUGGUCAGGUAUGUAACCAUGAAUGCCAUAAGGAAAGUUUGUGUAUUAUGCUGAGAUUUGGAAUAUUCUUCUGUGCUUCAGUUAGUGACGUGUUUGGAAGUUAGGCUUUCCUCUUUGCGUAACCAUGAAUGCCAAGGAAAGUUUGUGCAUUAUGCUGAAAUUUGGAAUAUUCUUCUGUGCUUCAGUUAGUGACGUAUUUUGAAGUUAGGCUUUCCUUUUUGCUUAUCAACUGACCUCAUAUUAUUUCUUUCAAUGAACAAUUUUUCGUUGUCCUCCUUGAUCCAAAUCUAACUCCUUUUAUUUUUGUCUGUUCUGAAAAUUGUGCUCCCUUUUCUAUUUUCUUUUUUUGAUACUCGUGGUAUCCGUGGCAGCUUGUGUGCACCUCGACCAGUUCCAGUUCCAUGGAGCACCUGCUAUCUUCUACCAGUCAGUGUUGUCAAAGGCUCAUUUAAGGCGCGCUUAAGCCUGAAGCUUAGAAAACUCAAGGGAGGGUGCUUCGCCUCACUUAAGUUGCGCUUCAGUGUAAAGCAAGGCACUAAGACUAGCGCCUCAUUGCCCAUGAGUCCUCUCUUGAAUCAAGCAGCACUAAACAAGAAAUAAGUGUAUUAGUUGCUAAGGG
rnacentral:lncRNA from 1 species